rnacentral:rRNA from 1 species
ACCCUGGUAGUCCACACAGUAAACGAUGAAUACUCGCUGUUUGCGAUAUACAGUAAGCGGCCAAGCGAAAGCAUUAAGUAUUCCACCUGGGGAGUACGCCGGCAACGGUGAAACUCAAAGGAAUUGACGGGGGCCCGCACAAGCGGAGGAACAUGUGGUUUAAUUCGAUGAUACGCGAGGAACCUUACCCGGGCUUAAAUUGCAACAGAAUAUAUUGGAAACAGUAUAGCCGUAAGGCUGUUGUGAAGGUGCUGCAUGGUUGUCGUCAGCUCGUGCCGUGAGGUGUCGGCUUAAGUGCCAUAACGAGCGCAACCCUUAUCUUUAGUUACUAACAGGUUAUGCUGAGGACUCUAGAGAGACUGCCGUCGUAAGAUGUGAGGAAGGUGGGGAUGACGUCAAAUCAGCACGGCCCUUACGUCCGGGGCUACACACGUGUUACAAUGGGGGGUACAGAAGGCG